GACAGAGGGUGCAAACGUUGUUCGGAAUUACUGGGCGUAAAGCGCGUGUAGGCGGUCAUGCAAGUCGGGUGUGAAAGCCCGGGGCUCAACCCCGGAAGUGCAUUCGAUACUGCGUGGCUAGAGUACUGGAGAGGAUGGUGGAACUCUCGGUGUAGAGGUGAAAUUCGUAGAUAUCGGGAGGAACACCAGUGGCGAAGGCGGCGACCUGGGCAGAUACUGACACUGAGGUGCGAAAGCGUGGGGAGCAAACAGG
rnacentral:rRNA from 1 species